AGUGAACGCUGGCGGCGUGCCUAAUACAUGCAAGUCGAACGGAGUGGCGCACGGGUGAGUAAUGUAUAGCUAAGCUUCCCUACACUAGAGGACAACAGUUGGAGACGGCUGCUAAUACUCUGUAGUGUAGGAUGAGGCUAUAUUGUAUCAGCUAGUUGGUGAGGUAAUGGCUCCACAAGGCUAUGACGCAUAACUGGUGUGAGAGGACGAUCAGGCACACUGGAACUGAGACACGGUCCAGACUCCGACGGGAGGCAGCAGUAGGGAAUAUUGCUCAAUGGGGGAAAGCCUGAAGCAGCAACGCGGCGUGGAGGAUGACACUUUGCGGAGCGUAAACUCCUUUUGUUAGGGAAGCGGUACCUAACGAAUAAGCACCGGCUAACUCCGUGCCAGCAGCCGCGGUAAUUC
rnacentral:rRNA from 1 species